GACGAACGCUGGCGGCGUGCCUAACACAUGCAAGUCGAACGGAAAGACGCGGCGCUUGCUGGUCGCACGUUAGGGGAGGAGGUGAGAAUCACGCGUGGAUCCUGCCCUUGACUUUGUGAGAUAUUUAGGAGACUGCGGAUAAUAUCCGGUAUAAUCUCUUGCUGCGCAGUGGUCGUUAGUAAGAGACGGCUGUUGUGUCUGUAAUCGCGGCUUAUCAGCUGGUUGGGGGGGUAGGUGCGGCCCACGGCUUUGACGGGUAGCCGGCGUGAGAGGGUGGCCAGGCACAAUGGGACUGCGAUACGGACCAGACUCCUACGGGCGGCAGCAGUCGGGAGUAUUGCACAAUGGGCGGACGCCUGAUGCAGCGACGCCGCGUGCGGGAUGACGGCCUUCGGGUUGUAAACAGCUUUCGCCUGUGCCGAAGCGUGAGUGACGGUAAUGGGUAAAGAAGCACCGGCUAACUACGUG
rnacentral:rRNA from 1 species